CAUAGGAAUCUGCCCGGUAGUGGGGGAUAACCUGGGGAAACCCAGGCUAAUACCGCAUACGUCCUACGGGAGAAAGCAGGGGAUCUUCGGACCUUGCGCUAUCGGAUGAGCCUAUGUCGGAUUAGCUGGUUGGUGAGGUAACGGCUCACCAAGGCGACGAUCCGUAGCUGGUCUGAGAGGAUGAUCAGCCACAUCGGGACUGAGACACGGCCCGAACUCCUACGGGAGGCAGCAGUGGGGAAUAUUGGACAAUGGGCGCAAGCCUGAUCCAGCCAUGCCGCGUGUGUGAAGAAGGCCCUCGGGUUGUAAAGCACUUUCAGUGGGGAAGAAGGCCUUGCGGUUAAUACCCGCGAGGAAGGACAUCACCCACAGCGG
rnacentral:rRNA from 1 species